rnacentral:rRNA from 1 species
ACUCUAAGCGGUGGAUCACUCGGCUCAUGGGUCGAUGAAGAACGCAGCAAACUGUGCGUCAUCGUGUGAACUGCAGGACACAUGAACAUCGACAUUUUGAACGCAUAUCGCAGUCCAUGCUGUUAUGUACUUUAAUUAAUUUUAUAGUGCUGCUUGGACUACAUAUGGUUGAGGGUUGUAAGACUAUGCUAAUUAAGUUGCUUAUAAAUUUUUAUAAGCAUAUGGUAUAUUAUUGGAUAAAUAUAAUAAUUUUUAUUCAUAAUAUUAAAAAAUAAUGAAAAACAUUAUCUCACAUUUGAAUGUGAAAAACGAAGAGAAAUAUUUUUUCUUUUCAAUCAAAUAAUACUGAGAAAUGUCUAGCAUAAAAAAUUGAAAUAUUUUUCAUCUAGAAUUGUCUCUUAUUAAUGAUUCGGAAAUAGAAAAAUCUUGGUUAUGUUAUUAUUCUUCGUUGGUUCGUUAAAAAUGGAUAAAUAAAAAUUUGCAUACAAGAAUUAAUAAAAAUGUUAUAACGAAUUUAAUUAAAUGUUUUAUCAUUAUAUAUAAAGAAUUUAUGGCAAGAUAAAGUUAUAUACAACCUCAACUCAUAUGGGACUACCCCUGAAUUUAAGCAUAUUAAUUAGGGGAGGAAAAGAAACUAACAAGGAUUUUCUUAGUAGCGGCGAGCGAAAAGAAAACAGUUCAGCACUAAGUCACUUUGUCUAUAUGGCAAAUGUGAGAUGCAGUGUAUGGAGCGUCAAUAUUCUAGUAUGAGAAAUUAACGAUUUAAGUCCUUCUUAAAUGAGGCCAUUUACCCAUAGAGGGUGCCAGGCCCGUAUAACGUUAAUGAUUACUAGAUGAUGUUUCCAAAGAGUCGUGUUGCUUGAUAGUGCAGCACUAAGUGGGUGGUAAACUCCAUCUAAAACUAAAUAUAACCAUGAGACCGAUAGUAAACAAGUACCGUGAGGGAAAGUUGAAAAGAACUCUGAAUAGAGAGUUAAACAGUACGUGAAACUGCUUAGAGGUUAAGCCCGAUGAACCUGAAUAUCCGUUAUGGAAAAUUCAUCAUUAAAAUUGUAAUAUUUAAAUAAUAUUAUGAGAAUAGUGUGCAUUUUUUCCAUAUAAGGACAUUGUAAUCUAUUAGCAUAUACCAAAUUUAUCAUAAAAUAUAACUUAUAGUUUAUUCCAAUUAAAUUGCUUGCAUUUUAACACAGAAUAAAUGUUAUUAAUUUGAUAAAGUGCUGAUAGAUUUAUAUGAUUACAGUGCGUUAAUUUUUCGGAAUUAUAUAAUGGCAUAAUUAUCAUUGAUUUUUGUGUUUAUUAUAUGCACUUGUAUGAUUAACAAUGCGAAAGAUUCAGGAUACCUUCGGGACCCGUCUUGAAACACGGACCAAGGAGUCUAACAUAUGUGCAAGUUAUUGGGAUAUAAACCUAAUAGCGUAAUUAACUUGACUAAUAAUGGGAUUAGUUUUUUAGCUAUUUAUAGCUAAUUAACACAAUCCCGGGGCGUUCUAUAUAGUUAUGUAUAAUGUAUAUUUAUAUUAUUUAUGCCUCUAACUGGAACGUACCUUGAGCAUAUAUGCUGUGACCCGAAAGAUGGUGAACUAUACUUGAUCAGGUUGAAGUCAGGGGAAACCCUGAUGGAAGACCGAAACAGUUCUGACGUGCAAAUCGAUUGUCAGAAUUGAGUAUAGGGGCGAAAGACCAAUCGAACCAUCUAGUAGCUGGUUCCUUCCGAAGUUUCCCUAGGAUAGCUGGUGCAUUUUAAUAUUAUAUAAAUAAUCUUAUCUGGUAAAGCGAAUGAUUAGAGGCCUUAGGGUCGAAACGAUCUUAACCUAUUCUCAAACUUUAAAUGGGUAAGAACCUUAACUUUCUUGAUAUGAAGUUCAAGGUUAUGAUAUAAUGUGCCCAGUGGGCCACUUUUGGUAAGCAGAACUGGCGCUGUGGGAUGAACCAAACGUAAUGUUACGGUGCCCAAAUUAACAACUCAUGCAGAUACCAUGAAAGGCGUUGGUUGCUUAAAACAGCAGGACGGUGAUCAUGGAAGUCGAAAUCCGCUAAGGAGUGUGUAACAACUCACCUGCCGAAGCAACUAGCCUUAAAAUGGAUGGCGCUUAAGUUGUAUACCUAUACAUUACCGCUAAAGUAGAUGAUUUAUAUUACUUGUGAUAUAAAUUUUGAAACUUUAGUGAGUAGGAAGGUACAAUGGUAUGCGUAGAAGUGUUUGGCGUAAGCCUGCAUGGAGCUGCCAUUGGUACAGAUCUUGGUGGUAGUAGCAAAUAAUCGAAUGAGACCUUGGAGGACUGAAGUGGAGAAGGGUUUCGUGUGAACAGUGGUUGAUCACGAGUUAGUCGGUCCUAAGUUCAAGGCGAAAGCCGAAAAUUUUCAAGUAAAACAAAAAUGCCUAACUAUAUAAACAAAGCGAAUUAUAAUACACUUGAAUAAUUUUGAACGAAAGGGAAUACGGUUCCAAUUCCGUAACCUGUUGAGUAUCCGUUUGUUAUUAAAUAUGGGCCUCGUGCUCAUCCUGGCAACAGGAACGACCAUAAAGAAGCCGUCGAGAGAUAUCGGAAGAGUUUUCUUUUCUGUUUUAUAGCCGUACUACCAUGGAAGUCUUUCGCAGAGAGAUAUGGUAGAUGGGCUAGAAGAGCAUGACAUAUACUGUUGUGUCGAUAUUUUCUCCUCGGACCUUGAAAAUUUAUGGUGGGGACACGCAAACUUCUCAACAGGCCGUACCAAUAUCCGCAGCUGGUCUCCAAGGUGAAGAGUCUCUAGUCGAUAGAAUAAUGUAGGUAAGGGAAGUCGGCAAAUUAGAUCCGUAACUUCGGGAUAAGGAUUGGCUCUGAAGAUUGAGAUAGUCGGGCUUGAUUGGGAAACAAUAACAUGGUUUAUGUGCUCGUUCUGGGUAAAUAGAGUUUCUAGCAUUUAUGUUAGUUACUUGUUCCCCGGAUAGUUUAGUUACGUAGCCAAUUGUGGAACUUUCUUGCUAAAAUUUUUAAGAAUACUAUUUGGGUUAAACCAAUUAGUUCUUAUUAAUUAUAACGAUUAUCAAUUAACAAUCAAUUCAGAACUGGCACGGACUUGGGAAUCCGACUGUCUAAUUAAAACAAAGCAUUGUGAUGGCCCUAGCGGUGUUGACACAAUGUGAUUUCUGCCCAGUGCUCUGAAUGUCAAAGUGAAGAAAUUCAAGUAAGCGCGGGUCAACGGCGGGAGUAACUAUGACUCUCUUAAGGUAGCCAAAUGCCUCGUCAUCUAAUUAGUGACGCGCAUGAAUGGAUUAACGAGAUUCCUACUGUCCCUAUCUACUAUCUAGCGAAACCACAGCCAAGGGAACGGGCUUGGAAUAAUUAGCGGGAAAGAAGACCCUUUUGAGCUUGACUCUAAUCUGGCAGUGUAAGGAGACAUAAGAGGUGUAGAAUAAGUGGGAGAUAUUAGACCUCGGUUUGGUAUCGUCAAUGAAAUACCACUACUCUUAUUGUUUCCUUACUUACUUGAUUAAAUGGAACGUGUAUC